rnacentral:rRNA from 1 species
AGGACGAACGCUGGCGGCGUGCUUAACACAUGCAAGUCAAGGGGGCCCGCAAGGGUAACCGGCGAACGGGUGCGUAACACGUGAGCGACCUGCCGAUCUGCGGGGGAUAGCCGGCCCAACGGCCGGGUAAUACCGCAUACGCUCUGCUUGGGGCAUCCCGAGCUGAGGAAACUUCCGGGGCGGAUCGAGGGGCUCGCGGCCUAUCAGCUAGUUGGCGAGGUAACGGCUCACCAAGGCGACGACGGGUAGCUGGUCUGAGAGGAUGGCCAGCCACAUUGGGACUGAGAAACGGCCCAGACUCCUACGGGAGGCAGCAGUGGGGAAUAUUGCGCAAUGGCCGCAAGGCUGACGCAGCGACGCCGCGUGUGGGAGGACGCCUUUCGGGUGUAAACCACUGUUGCCGGGACGAACAACCGGCUUUGGCCGGUCUGACGGUACCGGGUGAGGAAGCACCGGCUAACUCCGUGCCAGCAGCCGC